GCCGGCGUAGCUCAACGGGCAGAGCAGCCGCCUUGUAAGCGGCAGGUUGGGGGUUCGAGUCCCCCCGUCGGCUCCG
rnacentral:tRNA from 1 species